CCUACGGGUGGCUGCAGUGGGGAAUAUUGGGCAAUGGGCGCAAGCCUGACCCAGCAACGCCGCGUGAAGGAAGAAGGCUUUCGGGUUGUAAACUUCUUUUGUCAGGGACGAAGAAAGUGACGGUACCUGACGAAUAAGCCACGGCUAACUACGUGCCAGCAGCCGCGGUAAUACGUAGGUGGCAAGCGUUAUCCGGAUUUAGUGGGUGUAAAGGGCGUGUAGGCGGGACGGCAAGUGAGAUGUGAAACCCACGGGCUCAACCUGUGGCCUGCAUUUGAAACUGUAGUUCUUGAGUACUGGAGAGGCAGGCGGAAUUCCUAGUGUAGCGGUGAAAUGCGUAGAUAUUAGGAGGAACACCAGUGGCGAAGGCGGUCUGCGGGACCGCAACUGACGCUGAGGCGCGAAAGCGUGGGGAGCAAACAGGAUUAGAUACCCCUGUAGUC
rnacentral:rRNA from 1 species